rnacentral:lncRNA from 1 species
UGCCUUGUAGUGAAAUUGGAAUGGCCUGAGUUACAACCCAGGGUGUGAGGCUCCUUAUAUAGGACAGCCGAACCGACCUAAGCAAAAUAUCAGCUAGCAGUGAGGUAAGCACUUGCGUCACUAGCUAGCUUACCAAGCAAGCUACGUUUCUACUACUACUAAACUUCACUAGUAAGGCAUGCAGCCUUUGUUGCUGCCGACAUGCAUACUACAAGCUAGUAAGUAAAUACUGCUACAGCUACAUGCAUGUUGUGCCGCUACAUGCAUGUUGUAGACCAUCCGGAGACCAAGGUUGACUCAACAAUCUCCUCCUCAACCUUGUCGAAGGAGCUUGAUGUCGAUGAUGCCGACCUUCUCGCACUGCUCCUGGAAUCAGACAUGACCAAGUGCCUUCGUUGGGAUGUCCGCCUUCUCAGGCUAUGUAUGGCCCGUACACCCUGCUCGCGCUUCUUGAUCUCGGGUGCUGCGAUCGUCUCGCAGGCUCGAGAAGGUUCCUCUAGUCUUCGGAACCUGUGUGGAUCGCCACCAUUUUUUGUUGGCAUCGAACAAGUCCGACCGCGCUGUUGGCGGGGACAUGAACUGCCCGGGAACCACCUCGCUCGUGGGCGUCAGUGUUCCUGGGGUCGUAGUUCCUGAUGUCACACUGCCCAGGAACUCCUUUCCCGGGGUCGUCGUGUUGGACGUCAUGCUACCCAGGAACUCCCUUCCCGGGGAUGACUUGUUGGACAUCGCACUACCCAGGAACUCCCUUCCUGGGGUCGUCGUGCCGGACACCGCACUGCCCGGAAACUCCCUUCCCGGGGUCGUUGUGCCAGACGCCACACUGACCGGAGUGGCUCCUCUCAGGGUAGUGGAGUCCUUGGUGCUCUUCCCAUCAGGCUUGCUUGUCGGGUCUCCCUUGACUAUCGUGAGUCGUGCCUCCCGCACGGACUCGAUGGACCCCGAGUGCGUCGGGGUUGUGGCGUGGCCGACCAUAGAGCACCGUGCCUCCUGCACGGUCUCGACGGUCGCCACCAGCGUAGCCGGGUCGUGCCCAACUACAGAGUCCCGUGCGUCCCGCACGGACUCGAUGGACCCCGAGCGCGUCGGGGUCGCGGCAUAGCCGACCAGAGAGUGUUGUGCCUCCUGCACGGACUCUAUGGUCGCCGUAGUCUCGGUCGAGGCCUUGCCACCCCAUGACCGUCUCUUCAUUGCCUCCAAGUUGAGACUUGUUGAAGAGUGCCGUGUCGGCCACACGGGCUUGCAGAACCCCGAGAACCUGGUUGUCGGGGUGUGGCCGACCUGAGAAUGUCGUGCCUCUCGCACGGGCUCACUGGUCGCCAGCAUCAUGGUCGGGACAUGGCCCACCAGAUGCGUCGUUGUCGUGCCUCCUGACACGGGCUUGUCGGGUCCCGAGGAUGUCGGGGACACCUUUGCCGUGCCAACUUGCACGGGCUUGACCAGCGUCGCAGGGGACGUGGUUUCCGGGGUGUGGCUCCCCCACACCCGGGUCUUCAUCUCCUCCCAAUCGUAGCCUCCCGAGAACGUUGUUGCCGAGGAGAGCGCUACCGAUGUCGGGAGGGGAUUACUUGAAGAGCUCCAUGCCUCCCGCAAGGACUUAACGAUUGCCGGCACCGUGGUCUCCGGAGGUGAUGCGCCCUCCUGCACGGCUUCGAUGCUUGUCGGGACCAUGGUCUCCGGAGGCGCUAUGCCCUCCUGCAUGGUCUCGACGCAAGCCAUCAUCAUUGCUGGCCCACCGUCCUCUUCAGCCUCGACGAGGUUCGCCGCAGCCGUGGCAUCCUCGUCAGCCAUCCUGUUGCGGCACUCACGGGCCCAGUGGCCCUUGAUGCUGCAAUAUCGGCACUUGUCUCGGUCGUCGUUGCCGGCACCUCGUCCGGCUCCACCCUGGGUGCGACCGCCGUCUCUGCCGGUGCCGCCUCCGCUGCUCUGGGCACCGCCACCACGUCCUUGACGCUUCCUCGCCUCCCACUUCUUCGAGAAUAGGAGUUGUCCGCCGCCGAAGCUCUCGCGGCCGUCAUCAAGGCGGUCCUCGACCACCCGCAACCGGCCCGUGAGCUCCUCGAUGGAGAGCUCGCUCAGGUCAAGCAAAGUCUUGAUGGAGACCGCUACCUGAGCGAAACGAGGUGGAACGACGCGGAGAAAUUUCCGCACGACUCUCACGUCGUCCAUGGUGUCGCCGAGUGCGCGGAGCUUUGACGCAAGGCUGGAGAUUCGCAUGGCAAAGUUGUCGACGAGCUCGCCCUCCUUGAAGGCGAUGUUCUCGAAGUCCGCCCGCAGCUUCUGCGUGUUCGCCUCACGCACGCGGUUGCUGCCGAGGCGCUGGGUACGGAUGGCUUCCCACGCCUCCUUGGCGCUUGCCUUCGCCGCGAGCAUGCUGUGCAUCUCCGGCGGCGUGGCGCGCAUGAGUGCCGCCACGGCUUUCCUGUCCUCCUUUCUCUCGACCAGGUCGUCCUCCAUGGGAGCCCAGAGGCUCGCCGCAUGAAGGUUGCACUCCAUGAUCAACGCCCACUCGCUGUAGUUCGAGCGCGUGAGCAUCGGGAAGGUGAUGGGCACGCUACCGCUGAUUGCGGUCUCGCGCACGAUCUCCCUAACCACGACCUCACCGCGAUGGCCGCGCCUGGAGCGGCUGCGCCCUCGCCGCUCCUCCGGAGCCGGCGACUGGGAACCACCCGAGGUGGUGCGUUGCUGCACUCCUUUACCACCGGCCAUGGCUACCACAACCAGAGGCUCUGAUGCCAAUUGUUAGCCCAGAACUACAACGUAGCUGGCUAGUAUCCUCAGGAACGAACUACGGUAGCCAAGCACUCACGGAAGCAACACACACGUACUAGCAGAGUAGAGCUCACUUGAUUCUACACUGAACAUGCACACACACGUGAGAGAGGAGUACUACUUGAGCUGCCUUGUAGUGAAAUUGGAAUGGCCUGAGUUACAACCCAGGGUGUGAGGCUCCUUAUAUAGGACAGCCAAACCGACCUAAGCAAAAUAUCAACUAGCAGUGAGGUAAGCACUUGCGUCACUAGCUAGCUUACCAAGCAAGCAACGUUUCUACUACUACUAAACUUCACUAGUAAGGCAUGCAGCCUUUGUUGCUGCCGACAUGCAUACUACAAGCUAGUAAGUAAAUACUGCUACAGCUACAUGCAUGUUGUGCCGCUACAUGCAUGUUGUAGACCAUCCGGAGACCAAGGUUGACUCAGC